rnacentral:hammerhead_ribozyme from 1 species
GUCUAACUGAUUAAUCCCAAAUAGGACGAAACACGCGUCCUGGAU